rnacentral:rRNA from 1 species
GACGAACCGUGCGAACGUUAUUCGGAAUCACUGGGCUUAAAGCGCGUGUAGGCGGGACGGCACGUCGGUCGCUGAAAGCCCCCGGCUCAACCGGGGAACGGGCGCCGAUACGACCGGCCUGGAGGGACGUAGGGGGACCUGGAACUUCCGGUGGAGCGGUGAAAUGCGUUGAGAUCGGAAGGAACGCCCGAUGGCGAAAGCGAGGUCCUGGACGUUUUCUGACGCUGAGACGCGAAAGCUAGGGGAGCGAACGGG